rnacentral:siRNA from 1 species
AUCAACUUCCGAAAAUACAUCAU